rnacentral:rRNA from 1 species
GAUAAACGCUGGCGGCGCACAUAAGACAUGCAAGUCGAACGGACUUAACUCAUUCUUUUAGUUUGAGAGCGGUUAGUGGCGGACUGGUGAGUAACACGUAAGCAACCUGCCUAUCAGAGGGGAAUAACAGUGAGAAACUUGGGCUAAUACCGGAUACGUCCGUAAGGAGAAAGAUUUAUCGCUGAAGGAUCGGCCCGCGUCUGAUUAGCUAGUUGGUGGGGUAAUGGCCCGACCCAAACGGCGACGAUCAGUAGCUGGUCUGAGAGGAUGAUCAGCCUCACUGGGACUGAGACACGGCCCAGACUCCUACGGGAGGCAGCAGU